GUGGGGUGUGUGGGUACACCAGGAGUUUGUUUAAAUAACACUUGCCUGCUGGCUUCUGCUCUCUGUUGCUACUGCUACCGGCAGUAAGACGAGGGCUUUGGGAUGUU